CUCCCUGUGGCUCAGUUGGUAGAGCAUGGCGUUUGCAAUGGUGUUUGCAACGCCAGCGUUGUAGGUUCGAUUCCCACGGGGGGGC
rfam:Salmo salar isolate Sally breed double haploid chromosome ssa02, whole genome shotgun sequence.